UACGAAGGGGGCUAGCGUUGCUCGGAAUGACUGGGCGUAAAGGGCGCGUAGGCGGAUGGCACAGUCAGAUGUGAAAUUCCCGGGCUUAACCUGGGGCUGCAUUUGAUACGUGUGAUCUAGAGUGAGGAAGAGGGUCGUGGAAUUCCCAGUGUAGAGGUGAAAUUCGUAGAUAUUGGGAAGAACACCGGUGGCGAAGGCGACUUACUGGACACAUAUUGACGCUGAGGUGCGAAAGCGUGGGGAGCAAACAGG
rnacentral:rRNA from 1 species